CAGCCGCCGCGGGAAUACGGAGGGUGCAAGCGUUAUCCGGAUUUAUUGGGUUUAAAGGGUCCGUAGGCGGACUUAUAAGUCAGUGGUGAAAGCCUGUCGCUUAACGAUAGAACUGCCAUUGAUACUGUAAGUCUUGAGUAUAUUUGAGGUAGCUGGAAUAAGUAGUGUAGCGGUGAAAUGCAUAGAUAUUACUUAGAACACCAAUUGCGAAGGCAGGUUACCAAGAUAUAACUGACGCUGAGGGACGAAAGCGUGGGUAGCGAACAGGAUUAGAUACCCCCGUAGUCCCUGUCUCUUAUAC
rnacentral:rRNA from 1 species